UGACCUAAACCCUCACCAGAGUAACAAUUGGAGGGCAAGUCUGGUGCCAGCAGCCGCGGUAAUUCCAGCUCCAAUAGCGUAUAUUAAACUUGUUGCAGUUAAAAAGCUCGUAGUUGAAUUUCUGCGUUAUCGAGUUAUUGACUCUUGUCUUUAAUCGAUUUCGCUUUUGGGAUUUAUCCCUUUUUACUUUGAGAAAAUUAGAGUGUUUCAAGCAGACUUUUGUCUUGAAUACUUCAGCAUGGAAUAAUAGAGUAGGACUUUGGUUCUAUUUUGUUGGUUUUUGAACCUUAGUAAUGGUUAAUAGGAACGGUUGGGGGCAUUCGUAUUUAACUGUCAGAGGUGAAAUUCUUAGAUUUGUUAAAGACGAACUACUGCGAAAGCAUUUGCCAAGGACGUUUCCAUUAAUCAAGAACGAAAGUUAGGGGAUCGAAGACGAUCAGAUACCGUCGUAGUCCUAACCAUAAACUAUGCCGACUAGGGAUUGGAGGUCGUCAUUUUUCCGACUCCUUCAGCACCUUGAGAGAAAUCAAAGUCUUUGGAA
rnacentral:rRNA from 1 species